rnacentral:rRNA from 1 species
UACGGGGGGUGCGAGCGUUGUCCGGAAUUAUUGGGCGUAAAGAGCUCGUAGGCGGUUUGUCGCGUCGGCCGUGAAAACUUGGGGCUUAACCCCAAGCCUGCGGUCGAUACGGGCAGACUUGAGUUCGGCAGGGGAGACUGGAAUUCCUGGUGUAGCGGUGAAAUGCGCAGAUAUCAGGAGGAACACCGGUGGCGAAGGCGGCCGCUCGGUCGGCGAUGACUGACGCUGAGGAGCGAAAGCGUGGGGUAGCAAACAGGGAUUAGAACCUCCUAGUCAG